rnacentral:lncRNA from 1 species
CUUUCUGCUCCUGCCUCACCCCACCCAGAUCUGCAGGGCUGCGGGUUUCUGGUGGGGGUGUGAUGUUGGACUCGCACUGACCAGAAAUAAGUGGAGCGGAGGAAGGGCUGGGAUUAGUGUGAGCCUGUUUGUUUAGCACUGAGGGGUUUUGAACCAUGCUUCCACUUCAGCAGGCUCUUCAGGGUCAUGAAGUGUUCAUGACAUGAGUGGGAAGAUGCAUAGUUGUAAGAAGUCUUUGGUCACCCUGGGAUAAAGCAGGACCUUGUUGCCUGGGGACACAACAGGAACGUCCUCCCUGAUUCCUGCUGUGCCAAGAGUGCUCAGGGGAGCAGCCAGAACUGCUGGCCAAGAAGUGUUCUCUCCUUUUAACAUUCUCAUUGUUUCAGAUGUUUUCCUGAAAGCAAAUGACUUGUCUGGAGUGAAGCCUUCCAUCCCAGUGCCACAGAACAGAAGAUCAGAAAGUGUCACCUUGGAAAAGCUCAUGAUAAGCAGAAAGAAGGAAAAAAAAAAAACAGCUCUAUAGCAGAGAUGGGAACAGCAGCACCUGAACUCAGGUCCUUCUGUGCUUUGCAAAGUGGUGCACCCAUUCUGCAUUUCUCCAAGUUCAGAAAGGUGGUAACUUUUAUGGCUCUUCAUGUCCUGUAAAGUAAUUAAAGUACAGCCAGGUAACUUUUAGAUGGAAGUAAAACCUAAUCUUGCCCUUUUUUUUUUUUUUCUGUAUAGAGAUUUUUAAAAAUUAUUAUUUAUACUGCCUCUACUCCUAGAACAUGUCUGUUGUUCCAAGUUUUUUGUGAAAAUGAAAAUAAUUAUAAGUGUAUGCAGA